GACGAACGCUGGCGGCGUGCUUAACACAUGCAAGUCGAACGGAAAGGCCCUGCUUUUGUGGGGUGCUCGAGUGGCGAACGGGUGAGUAACACGUGAGUAUCCUGCCCUUGACUUUGGGAUAACUUCAGGAAACUGGGGCUAAUACCGGAUAGGAGCUCCUGCUGCAUGGUGGGGGUUGGAAAGUUUCGGCGGUUGGGGAUGGAAUCGAGGCUUCUCAGCUUGUUUGUGGGGUAGUUGCUUACCAAGGCUUUGACGGGUAGGCGGCCUGAGAGGGUGACCGGGGACAUUGGGACUGAGGGACGGCGCAGACGCGUACGGUAGGCAGCAGGGGGGAAUAUUGCAGAAUGGGCGGAAGUGUGAUGCAGCAACGCCGCGUGCGGGAUGACGGCUUUCGGGGUGUAAACCGCUUUCGACUGUGACGAAGCGUGAGUGACGGUAAUGGGUAAAGAAGCACCGGCUAACUACGUG
rnacentral:rRNA from 1 species